UACUAAUGACGCCGUUGACUUUUUCUCACAUGUUUGAUCAUUCAUCUUAUUUAAAAAAUUUACGUAAUUAUAAUUUAUUUUGUUAUGAGUUGUUUUAUCACUCAUAAUACUUUAAGUGUGAUUUAUAUCUUAUAUAUUUGCAUAAAAUUUUUGAAUAAAACGAAUGGUCAAACAUGUGAGAAAAAAUUAAUGGUGUCAUCUAUU
rfam:Oryza glaberrima chromosome 5 Oglab05_0049_9, whole genome shotgun sequence.